CAGGAAGAAGUCUCUUCGGGGAUGAUUAAACCGGCGCACGGGUGAGUAACACGUGAGUGACCUGCCUUUUAGACUGGAACAACUUACCGAAAGGUGAGCUAAUGCCGGAUGAGUUAUAUAAGUGCAUGUUUAUAUAGGAAAAGUUGGGGAGACCUGACGCUGAAAGAUGGACUCGCGUCCCAUUAGCUAGUUGGUAGGGUAAUGGCCUACCAAGGCGACGAUGGGUAGCCGGCCUGAGAGGGUGGCCGGCCACACUGGGACUGAGACACGGCCCAGACUCCUACGGGAGGCAGCAGUGGGGAAUUUUGCGCAAUGCUCGUAAGAGUGGCGCAGCGACGCCGCGUGAAUGACGAAGGCCUUCGGGUCGUAAAGUUCUUUCGACAGGGAAGAAAAUGCCUAUAAGUAACUGUGUAUGUAUUGACGGUACCUGUAUAAGCAGCCCCGGCUAACUCCGUGCCAGCAGCCGCGGUAAUACGGAGGGGGCGAGCGUUGUUCGGAGUGACUGGGCGUAAAGAGCACGUAGGCGGUGUUGUAAGUCAUUAGUCAAAGACUAGAGCUCAACUUUAGUAAGGCUAGUGAUACUAUAAUACUAGAGUAACAGAGAGGAUUGCAGAAUUCCUGGUGUAGCGGUGAAAUGCGUAGAUAUCAGGAGGAAUACCGUUAGCGAAGGCGGCAAUCUGGCUGGAAACUGACGCUGAGGUGCGAAAGCGUGGGUAGCAAACAGGAUUAGAUACCCUGGUAGUCCACGCUGUAAACGAUGGGAUGCUAGGUGUUGG
rnacentral:rRNA from 1 species